rnacentral:rRNA from 1 species
CUAGGGAGUGGGAGAGGUAGACGGUACUCGGUAGGAAGGGGUAAAAUCCUUUGAUCUAUUGAUGACCACCUGUGGCGAAGGCGGUCUACCAGAACACGUUCGACGGUGAGGGAUGAAAGCUGGGGGAGCAAACCGGAUUAGAUACCCGGGUAGUCCCAGCUGUAAACGAUGCAAACUCGAUGAUGCGUUGGCUUGUUGCUAGCGCAGUGUCGCAGGGAAGCCGUUAAGUUUGCCGCCUGGGAAGUACGUACGCAAGUAUGAAACUUAAAGGAAUUGGCGGGGGAGCACCACAAGGGGUGAAGCCUGCGGUUCAAUUGGAGUCAACGCCUGAAACCUUACCCGGAGAGACAGCAGAAUGAAGGUCAAGCUGAAGACUUUACCAGACAAGCUGAGAGGUGGUGCAUGGCCGUCGCCAGCUCGUGCCGUGAGAUGUCCUGUUAAGUCAGGUAACGAGCGAGAUCCCUGCCUCUAGUUGCCACUAUUACACCCUGGUGUAGUAGGGCGAAUUAGGGGGACCGCCGCAGUUAAUGCGGAGGAAGGAAGGGGCCACGGCAGGUCAGUAUGCCCCGAAACUCUGGGGCCACACGCGGGCUGCAAUGGUAGCGACAAU